CCACCGCCCACCGACCACCGCCCUCGAGAGGGAAAAGCCUCGGCUCACACAGCCGUCCAGACCCAGUAUUCUACACCAAAAUCCCAGGUAAAUUGGCUUCGUCUCCCCGCUCUGCGGCGAUGGAAGGAGGAGGAGGUGCAGAGCACCGCGAAUUCCAUCGCCACGGCCUCGCGCAGCCGCCUCGCCCUUCUCCGGCAUCUCGCGAUCCAUGGCAGACGUUUGUUGGAACAGACAGAUUAGUCAACAAAGAAAAAUUAAGUGGCGGAGAAUCUUCCUAAAAUGAAAUCAAGACGAUGAGAUAAGCAUGGAGAUUUAAUGUGGUUUGUUGGAGAUGCUUAAGGUAGGAGAUGAAGGACAGUUGGAAGGGGAUAAUGGAGGACAAUUAUAGCUUCACUAGAGCCUGGGGCGGAGAGGUGGGGGCCGUCUCUGCAGGUUCGCAGUGCAGCUGGGCCAAACAUCGCUUACAGUUUAAGCUGUAGCCUGUUAUGAAGUAAAAGCUGCGGAGGUACAGUUUCGGCCACUGUGUGCGGGAAGAUGAGAGGUCAAGCAGUAGCAAUUGGCACAUGUAGGUUCCACGGGGCACUCAGCGAGAUUCAAUCUUAACGUGACAUUUAGGCCGACCUUUUAUUAUGGAUCGCUGGGGGGAAGAAUCGUAAAAGUUUCGGGUGUCAACAAAUUGUGUCGCUGCGGAAAAGAGGGAUCAGACCAAAGCAGUGGCCUUGGUAGGGCAAGGUGUGAUAUUCACAUUGGUAUUAUCCUCGAUGACACAAAGGUUCAUGCCCAAGCACCCAUAUUUUAAUGGUUUAUAGUCGGGAUAUUUUCUUGAGUUGGGAUUUGCAUCUCCCAGAGGGAAGACCAGGGCGUACGCAUGCCACCUUUCGCGGCCGUGGGGGUUGAAAAUGGCUGCUCCUAUUGGAUGAUGGGAAAAGGUACCACAAGAUAACGUCUUGGGGCCUACCGCCGGCGACCACAUCGCAUCGGGGCAUGCCUUCGGUACCACACGCACCGAUGACUGCCAGUAAUCACUAAGCAGUGCAUUAAGGACGGUCGAUGCCGGCAGUUUCUUGUGUGUAAUAUAUAUACAAAACAGGCAGGGGGCAGCAAAAGCCAUAGACAGCGGAGGGACCACCAUGGAUGGUGUUCAUGGAUGCUGGACAGUUGCAGAUAACUCACCUAUCCUUUUAUUCUAUGGUAUACACGAUAGCCAGCUAGGAUAUCAUGAGAUCAAACCAGAUACUCUUGGCUGUGUGAAUUGGCUGGCAGAGAGUAGCUUGAUCUAUCCAGAUUUAAUUCCCAAGAGACAAAAAAAAAGAAACUAUGGUCAUUAAAACUUAAAAUGGACUGAAGACAUAAAAUUAUAAAGCCUCGUUUGAGAUACUAGCUAUAGUUUUGACGUACUAUGAACAGUGCUAGGUUUAAUUCGUUUUAGGUGGGAUAUUUGUACUAUGUACGACUGCCAAAAGAAUAUAAUAUUAUGGACAGUUAAGUAAAGAUGCAUACUGUAGUGUCAACUGUUGCUGAUUGGAACUACUACUCCUUGGCAGCCGCAGCAUGGGUACUACUCCCGGUAGUACUUAAAUCCAUGGGAGGGCUCAGCACUGGAGGUACGACCACCUAUCCCAUCCAUCUCCUCUGCUCCAAAACCAAGCACCAAGAGCCCUUUCUCUCAUCACCUCUCCUUUCAAUUCCAGUACGGCGGCCGCUCACCGGAUCCAAGAAGAAAAAACCUCUCCCAUUUCCUGUUGUGUUCGGAGGUUUUAUUUGGGUUUCCUUUUGGAUUUUUUGGGUUGUUUGAUACUUUUGUGGCGGAAUUUGUUCUUCGGCUGUGCAAUCUGCGAAGUAAUGUUAGCUCCUGGUGUGGGGAGGCCCUCGAGAGAUUGACAGAAGAGAGUGAGCACACGGCGUGAUGCCGGCAUAACAUGUAUGCCGUCUUCGCCGCGUGCUCACUCCUCUUUCUGUCAGCCUCUUUCUAUCAGGAGUUUACGUUACAUUCAGAUCCACUGGUGGGUAUGUAGAACUAAUUCGACUCAAUUUCAAUUCAAUAGUUCAUAAUUUUCCACACAAAAAGGAAGGUUAACCCCUGCUUAUGAGAGGAACUCAGCCACAAAAGAAAGGCAGAACACGCAUGCGACAUGUACUCUGGCUUUUCUCCGACUUUACCAUGCCACUUCCUUAUCUCUUUAGAUGUGUGCGCACGCAAAAAAAUGAAGUAAAAAAAAUGCUCUGUUGUUUUGAUCUUUUCAGUCAAGUUGCUCCUGGGAACUACUACCGAGGAGAGUGAUACGGAUGCUAGUGGUAAUUGUAAGGAGUGGCAGCUGUAGGCGCUUGUAGUACUGGAAUAAAUGAU